rnacentral:lncRNA from 1 species
GACUUUCCUGGGGCUACACCUCUCCAGAAGUUUGAAGAUGUGGGGACAGAAUUCUUCCUAGUCUAAGACACAGAGGAUGCGAUGAAAAACAAAAUCCAUCAUGUUAAUAAUUAGCCUAGAGUCACACAAGUUGACACUGCCUUUCUCUGUCCCAAGAGCUGACCAGCUGCCAAUGUAAAUACUGUUUAGGAAGGAAUGUACCACGCAGCAAUACUGUCCCUUGGAAAGAGGAUGUAUGACCACGCUAUCAUAGUAGAAGAAUGGAAAGAGAAGAUACUGUUGAAGUAAGCAAACAGCAAGAACAGAACAUUGCGGUGCUAGACACUUGGAUAAAGAAACUGGAGCACUAAGAGAUGAAGUGACUGUCAGCCAUGGUAGUGGACCAACAUCACCUUCAUCUCUGCCCUCGGUCUGCUAACUGUUGACUUUCUCCGUUCCUUGGAAUCCAUUUUCUGCUUGUACACACAAUUACAUAGGGCCCAAAGAACAUUUCUGAGCUGAGCAAACCUGACCUGGAUUCCUUCGGAAAACAUUAGCUGCCCUAUAGAGCAGAUAUAAAAUUUCAGCAGAAAUCUAGAUACGCUACCUAAACGCU